rnacentral:rRNA from 1 species
AUGGCUCAGAACGAACGUUGGCGGCACGCUUAAUACAUGCAAGUCGAACGAGAAACUUGGUUCGCCAAGUGGAAAGUGGCAGACGGUUGAGUAACGCGUGGGAAUCUACCUAGAGGUUCGGAAUAACUAUUGGAAACGAUAGCUAAUACCGGAUAAGCCCUUCGGGGGAAAGAUUUAUUGCCUUUAGAUGAGCCCGCGUCGGAUUAGCUAGUUGGUAAGGUAACGGCUUACCAAAGCUACGAUCCGUAGCUGAUCUGAGAGGAUGAUCAGCCAGAUUGGGACUGAGACACGGCCCAGACUCCUACGGGAGGCAGCAGUAGGGAAUAUUGCGCAAUGGGGGAAACCCUGACGCAGCGAUGCCGCGUGAGUGAAGAAGGCCUUAGGGUUGUAAAACUCUUUCAGUGGUGAAGAUAAUGACGGUAACCACAGAAGAAGCUCCGGCUAACUCCGUGCCAGCAGCCGCGGUAAUACGGAGGGGGCUAACGUUGUUCGGAAUUACUGGGCGUAAAGCGCGCGUAGGCGGAUUAGACAGUUGAGGGUGAAAUCCCGGAGCUUAACUUCGGAACUGCCCCCAAUACUACUAAUCUAGAGUUCGGAAGAGGUGAGUGGAAUUCCUAGUGUAGAGGUGAAAUUCGUAGAUAUUAGGAAGAACAUCAGAGGCGAAGGCGGCUCACUGGUCCGAUACUGACGCUGAGGUGCGAAAGCGUGNGGAGCAAACAGGAUUAGAUACCCUGGUAGUCCACGCCG